rnacentral:rRNA from 1 species
UACGAAAGGGGCUAGCGUUGUUCGGACUUACUGGGCGUAAAGCGCACGUCGGCGGCACUGUAUGUUGGGGGUGAAAUCCCGGAGCUCAACUCCGGAACUGCCUUCAAGACUGCAGAGCUGGAGGAUGCGAGAGGUGAGUGGAAUUCCGAGUGUAGAGGUGAAAUUCGUAGAUAUUCGGAAGAACACCAGUGGCGAAGGCGGCUCACUGGCGCAUUUCUGACGCUGAGGUGCGAAAGCGUGGGGAGCAAACAGG